AGAGCGAACGCUGGCGGCAGGCCUAACACAUGCAAGUCGAGCGCCCGUAGCAAUACGGGAGCGGCAGACGGGAUAGUAACACGUGGGAACGCGCCCUUCGGUUCGGAAUAACUCAGGGAAACUUGAGCUAAUACCGGAUACGCCCUUACGGGGAAAGAUUUAUUGCCGAAGGAACGGCCCGCGUCCGAUUAGCUAGUUGGUGAGGUAAUGGCUCACCAAGGCGACGAUCGGUAGCUGGUCUGAGAGGAUGACCAGCAUCACUGGGACUGAGACACGGCCCAGACUCCUACGGGAGGCAGCAGUGGGGAAUAUUGGACAAUGGGCGCAAGCCUGAUCCAGCCAUGCCGCGUGGAUGAUGAAGGCCUUAGGGUUGUAAAGUCCUUUUAACGGGGAAGAUAAGUGACGGUACCCGUAGAAUAAGCCCCGGCUAACUUUGUGCCAGCAGCCGC
rnacentral:rRNA from 1 species